rnacentral:misc_RNA from 1 species
GAUGAAGAACGCAGCAAAAUGCGAUAAGUAAUGUGAAUUGCAGAAUUCAGUGAAUCAUCGAAUCUUUGAACGCACAUUGCGCCCGCCAGUAUUCUGGCGGGCAUGCCUGUUCGAGCGUCAUUUCAACCAUCAAGCCCCCGGCUUGUGUUGGGGACCUGCGGCUGCCGCAGGCCCUGAAAUGCAGUGGCGGGCUCGCUGUCACUCCGAGCGUAGUAGUUACAUCUCGCUCUGGGCGUGCUGCGGGUUCCGGCCGUUAAAAGCCUUAUUUACCCAAGGUUGACCUCGGAUCAGGUAGGAAGACCCGCUGAACUUAAGCAUAUCAAUAAGCGGAGGA